rnacentral:rRNA from 1 species
GACGAACGCUGGCGGCGUGCUUAACACAUGCAAGUCGAACGAGACGAUUGAAAGCUUGCUUUCGAAAGUCGAGUGGCAAACGGGUGAGUAACGCGUAGACAACCUGCCUUUGAGAUGGGGACAACAGUUCGAAAGGACUGCUAAUACCGAAUGUUGUAUAUUUUCCACAUGGAAGAUAUAUUAAAGAUGGCCUCUAUGUAUAAGCUAUCGCUCAAAGAUGGGUCUGCGUCUGAUUAGCUAGUUGGUGGGGUAACGGCCUAACAAGGCGACGAUCAGUAGCCGGUCUGAGAGGAUGAACGGCCACAUUGGGACUGAGACACGGCCCAGACUCCUACGGGAGGCAGCAGUGGGGAAUCUUCCACAAUGGACGAAAGUCUGAUGGAGCAACGCCGCGUGAGUGAAGAAGGGUUUCGGCUCGUAAAGCUCUGUUGUCGGGGACGAAUGUGCAGUAUUUGAAUAAAGUAGUGCAAUGACGGUACCUGACGAGGAAGCCACGGCUAACUACGUGCCAGCCGCCGCAGUAAGAC